ACAAACAAAUGGAGGAAAUUUCUUACAUUUGUAGUUUUUAAGUUUUAUUAAACGAAAGUAAAAAUAUGAGACUCGCCUAACUUCUUCUUUCAGAAAAGAAAUCUAGCAUUAGUCUCUUAGAAACCCUAGAAAUCUCUGCCCUUUCCUCAUCCCAAAACACUGAUGUUGCAGCGAGAGGCAGUCUCUUCAUUAAGUUUUACAAAAUUCUCGAUCAUUUAACUGUUAUCGUGCUUAAGUCACUCCAGACAAUAUGGAAUUUCUCUUUGAACUUGCUUCAUAGCGCUCGAUUAGCAGAUAAGUGAUUAUCGCCGUGUCGUAGAGAAUCAAAAGGGGACAUAACCAGGCUGGAGGAUAUCGAAAGGAGACACGAUUUUCAGAUUUUGGUUUGGUUGAGUAGCUGGUUCCAAAUUGAUCUUCCAUCUAAAAGAAAUUGGUGAUGGUCUGCAAAUGGCAAGAGACUUCUAUUCUGGAUGUAUUGUCGUUGAUUAUAGGUUGCUACAUCAGUCACUUCUGCACUAAAGAUGCUACCAAAGACAGAUACACAAUUGAAUUGGAGAGGAAGCUAUAUAUAUAAGGAAGUACAGAAAAAGUGAAAGAGGAAUUGAAGAAGUGAAGAGAUCUCUUGUUGUUCCAAACAAUUAUAUUUUGCUUGAAUGACAAAUAACUUUUUCAUGACUUUAUUUUAUUGUAAAGACUAUAAAUUUCUUUCAAUGUAAUUAAUUUUCGAGAACUUCCAUAUUCAAUAUAUAUGAUUCUAGUUUAUGUUUUC